rnacentral:rRNA from 1 species
AUUGAACGCUGGCGGCAGGCCUAACACAUGCAAGUCGAGCGGAUGAAGGGAGCUUGCUCCUGGAUUCAGCGGCGGACGGGUGAGUAAUGCCUAGAAAUCUGCCUGGUAGUGGGGGAUAACGUCCGGAAACGGGCGCUAAUACCGCAUACGCCCUGAGGGAGAAAGUGGGGGAUCUUCGGACCUCACGCUAUCAGAUGAGCCUAGGUCGGAUUAGCUAGUUGGUGGGGUAAAGGCCUACCAAGGCGACGAUCCGUAACUGGUCUGAGAGGAUGAUCAGUCACACUGGGACUGAGACACGGUCCAGACUCCUACGGGAGGCAGCAGUGGGGAAUAUUGGACAAUGGGCGAAAGCCUGAUCCAGCCAUGCCGCGUGUGUGAAGAAGGUCUUCGGAUUGUAAAGCACUUUAAGUUGGGAGGAAGGGCAGUAAGUUAAUACCUUGCUGUUUUGACGUUACCAACAGAAUAAGCACCGGCUAACUUCGUG